UACCGUAUUUUAUAAGAACAUAGAUGCAGUUUGUGUUUGUGUGAAACAUGAAACAUUCAUCUUAUGAACAAUUCAUACCAUAAUUUCAAGAAGAACUCUCCUUUGCCUUAUAACAUAGCCUAAUUUUGUGACUCAAUACUGGAGAAGUAAAUAUUUUUCUGAAUUCUUAUAGCCUCCUUUGGAGUUACUCUCGUCUACUUUUAUAAUACUCAAUUUGUCUUAAGUUGGGUACCAUUUGCUAUUUUAGAUCCAUUAAUAAUGUAAGUGGCUAGGAUAAAAGUGAACUCCUGAAAAUGUGUCUUCGACUCCCUGACCCUUCCACUCCAGGGUAAAUACAUAAGCACAAAGGAAAAUGUGUAUGGGAAUCCUAGAGGCUAGGUUGAACUUUAUAGAAAUACUUAGUCUAAGUAGAUUUCACUGCUUAAAACCAAAGAUUAAACCUUCACCUCCCAAACUCCUACCAGAAUCUCAGAUUCCACAAGAAGGAAAGAAUUUUGG